rnacentral:misc_RNA from 1 species
UCCGGUUUAGACCGGCGGUCUCCUUAGAGAAGUUAACUAAGGACAAAGGUUGCGCUCGUUGCGGGACUUAACCCAACACCUCACGACACGAGCUGACGACAGCCAUGCAGCACCUCGACUAGUGUCCCUUGCGGGAAAAGCGACUUUCGCCGCCUGUCACUAGCCGUUCGAGCCCAGGUAAGGUUCUUCGCGUUGCGUCGAAUUAAACCACAUACUCCACCGCUUGUGCGGGGCCCCGUCAAUUCCUUUGAGUUUUAGCCUUGCGGCCGUACUCCCCAGGCGGGGUGCUUAAUGCGUUAGCUUCGGCACGGACGGGGUCGAUAUCCGCCCACACCUAGCACCCAACGUUUACGGCUAGGACUA